UGCGUCUUGAGAAGUUGGCUCUCUUCUGGAGAUCGUGUGGCAUAUUUGUUAUCUUGGGAAACCUUAUCAGGUGGAAUUAUGUCGGAUGCUGAGCUGGUUUAUGGGCAGGGCACUGAUACUUCCCAGCCGUGUUCCUGGUGUUCUGUAGUCUUCUCGCCAGCCACAUCUGUCUCCUUUGAUCUCCUGAGCCAUUUUCUCCUGGACUAACACUGUUCUGCGAGAUCAUUUAGAAGCCCCCCCCUCGUAUGGCUCUGAACGUCUGACCACU